AGUAAAACCCUAAUGGUGCCAACCCCUAUUUAAAACCCUAGCACGUUGGUUCUCUUCACUUGCCGCCUCUGGUUUGGGGUUUCGAUUUCAUCUCUCUGUUCCUUUCCUAUUAUCUCCUUGGUGGGUUUUCAGCCUCGAUUUUCUCUCGUUUCCUCUCUAGAUCCGUGUGUGAAUGCAUAGUUAGUUUUACAUGAAAUGCGUGAUUUCAAAUCCAUGGGGGUUUGGAAGAAUUUCGUUAUAAUGUUUGAUUUCAAAUCGAAGGAUUUGAAGAAUCUGAUUAUCUGUAUUGCAUUUGCAUUUCAUAUGAAAUGCUUGAUUCCACUCGGUGAUUUUACUUUAUUAAUUUUCAUUUGCUUGAUCUUUAUGAUAUUGUUGUUCCGAAUGGCAAAUGAUGAGUAUGAAAUCUUAUCCUACACACUGAUCUUGAACUGUGUUGACUACUACUCCGCUUAUUAUCUGAUGCCUUAAAUUUUUUUCUUCCUAAUGUUCUUGUUUCUCUUUUUUUGGCCGAACUUCUUCUGGAAUCAUCAAUCAUCAUCUAUCUAUCUUUUUUUAUUCCUUUGAUGGUUUUUUUAUAUUCAUUUUGGCUUUUCAAUCAGAGAGAUGGUUCUCUGAUUGAAUCUUCUCAACUGAUUUUUGCACAACCGUGGCAAUUUGGAUGUUUUCAUUUAUUUUUAAUGGCAUUUAUAGGUGGAAAAACUACAUUGUAUCAAGUUUGUUGAUAUAGCAAGCCUGCUAUAAACAGCAAGCUAUAGAUCAGAAGGCAAAUGAUGAAAUAGUCUUAUCCUACACUCUGAAGUUAAUGUAGACUAUAACUCCGCUUAUUAUCUGAUGCCUUCUAUCUCCUGGUUAAGAAUCCAAGAUUUUUGGAAUGAGAAAUGGACAUGGAUUUGAAGCGAUGGUCACUUGUUUUCGGCUCUUUUCAGAAAAUUCCAGGAAAUAUAUAACCCCUUGUUGCCUGAGGGGCCGCUGAUAUGGAUUAUUUAUGGUUUAGUAAGAAAGAAUUAUGGAUUAUCUGCUUGGAGCUAUCGCGUGGUUGUGCGGUCAGAUUUAGGAUGUGAUUCCUGGCCCCCUGUUUGUGUCUAUGGUUGUGUAGUCAAUAUUCCCACCACCUUCGGAUUCUUUUGGUCGGCUAUUUCCAGCCAUGGAGAGAAUAGUUCACUUUCAUGGACUCA